GGAGGGAUGGCUGAGUGGACGAAAGCGACAGUCUUGAAAACUGUUAUAGGGGCAACUCUAUCGUGGGUUCGAAUCCCACUCCCUCCGCCA
rnacentral:tRNA from 1 species